UUAAUCUCUGAGCCCAGAGUCACUUACCACACUGAGCCCCCACCUCCCUACCCUGCCACACCCCACCAAAGUAGGAUUCUGUGGAAAUGAAAAGAGACCCAGAGACUGUCAGGCUGUGGGGAGAAAGGAAUUAGAAAUUCUAAAUAUGAGCCAUAAUGUAUGAAGCACCAUUCUGAAAAUCUGUAUGAACAACCAAUUGAAAUGAAUAAUCCUGCUUUAACUUGAACUGAGUUUUAGCCUCUUCCCAUCUCCCCUUCUAUCUCAUCUGGAAUGCUGGCCUUUGACUGAUUAAAAGCAACCAGGGAACAAGUGGACUGGAAGGAGUUUUGACAGAGGGCCAAAGCCAGGCCCCACACGCUGCCUUCUGCCUGGCUGGAAUCCCCUCCUCCGCCUGUGCUUUGUCUUCUAACUGCUGGGUGUGGUCCCAUGAGGCCCGACCAGAGGGACUUCGCUAGCUGUGCGGAGGCAGCCUGGACUCAUCACAGCAAGAAUGAAGUCUAGACGUGCAGCGCUCCCUGCCUGGAACGCGUGAGUCACCCAGCUGCAUUCCCAAGGAAGAGACUGUCCUGACAGCUCUGCUCUCCCCCCGGGCUGCUCUAGGGGGGCCCCUGAGCCCUGUGGGGGGGGCGGGGCUGGGGGACCGAGAGUGGGCCAGGUGUCUGUAGGGCCACCUAGGACCGACUGUCACCCCGAAACUGGCUCACGCUCGCAGCCUCCUCUUCCUGUGUGACCCUCAGCCCGGGUCGGAGGGUCCCCGCAUCCAGGGGUGUCCAGCCUCAUCUGCACUCUCCCGGGCCACUUGCCUCCUCUAACCCCACCGCAAGUAGUCCAUUCUCCCACCCAUGUUUCAGAAUUUAAGGGGUGCAUACAUUCCUCUGACUUCUAAGCACGUUUUUGUUUUCUUUCCAGUUUUUGUUCUGUGUUGAUCUCAUGCUCAAAGUCUGUCACAUGCUCCAGGAGGCCAGGAACCGUGUUUUCCUGCUCUUGCGUAGCCCGCGCACGUAGGAAGUGCUGUUCCGGGCCCCUUUCUCCUCAAAAGUCUUUGCUGAUAACAGGUUAAUGUGGGGAUGCUUUCACACAUGAUCUAACUUUCACACAUUAUCUAACCCAAUGAUUCUUAUUCUUUUGAGAAUAACUAAUGUAUGUUCUUUGAGAAAAUAGGGAAAGAGACCACCCUCUCCCAAGGAAGAUGCACAUAAACACCCAGACUAAAUGCUAGUGUUGAUUUCAGGGCUCAGUGGCCCCCCUGAAACUGUCCAGCCAUUGGCUGCAAGCUAAGAGCCACUGUUUAAGCUGGCUCUUCCAACUGGGCUGCAAGGCACUUGCCACAGACAUUGCUCCCACCUUAUCCAUGGGGAAACUGAGGUUGGAGAGAGAUGCCUCCAGGCUGCUCUGACUGGCAAAUUGCUGCAUCUCCUCACCCAGGAUCCACGUUCCCUUCGAUACUUAUUUUGCAGAUCUGUCCUUAGACAUGCAGAGUCUUCUGUCAGCACCUGUGCGUCAGAGCAGAAACUGUAACUCUCGUCAUUCUUGUCCUUGUUACCAUGUUUGGUUCCUGGUGCAACAGUGCGUGGCCAAGCCCAACUGCGUCUCUCGCCAGGACGUCAGAGAGCUUCUCUCCUGGUGCCAGAGAGGAGUACCAGAACCUGCUGUUGCCAGGGAUCUUUGAUUUUUCUCAUUUGUGGCCUCCAGCUGGCUCCCCAAAUUUGAAUGCAGCCAACAGAAAUCAAAGAUGAGAGAGGCCAGGUGUUAUCACUCCUGCAGGCAGACCUCCGUUCAGCAGCUGUAUUGAGAUGUGCUGCACCAAACCUCAGGCCUUUCCCCACCCAACCCCACAAGUCCACAGGCCUCAGCCCACCCCCACCCCAGGCAGGCGAACGCUGUGAUGAGGCAGGAGGCCUGUGUGGAAGGGCAACGAGCCAGCGCCUUACGUAACAGCUCCAGUUUCCACCGUCAGUCCCUGCGCGGUGAAAUGCAAAUCCCCGUGCGGCCAGGAAUGCGCAAUGCCUCAGUCUCUGCCUCUCAAACCAAUCGCCACCACCUCGGCGAGGAGGAAGACAGUCCCACAGCUCUCCCGGGUCCCGGACUGUGCGUCCAUCCUGGCUGCUGGGGCAUCACUCGGACUCGGCUCCCUGACAUGACAGAGUGUCAGAGCUUCGAAGAAAAGCAAAGGUGGUGGUUUGUUCCAGUAGCAUUUUCCAUGUUUGGGCAAAUGCACUUCAUCACAACUGCACUUGCCUGUGGUCACUGCUUGGCUGAUGGAUGGCCUCAGCCCCCGGAGGCCAGUGGAUGACAUGUGGGGGUUAUCUCCUUGCACCAAAAAUAUUUAAACCAUCUAUCUAUACCCACAGCGCUGGGGCCUAUGUCAAGAUAGGUGUGCACCUUCCUUGAGUUGUAUGUGUCAAUUGAUUAAGCAGUGUUGAUUCCUCACAACCUGGUAAGAAAAAAAAAAACCAUGGCCCUCAUUA